rnacentral:other from 1 species
AGAUUCCUGAAAUGUGCGUGAUGCCUUAAUUUUGAACCUGCUAUAUGUGACACGGGAGUCCGAUUGUUUGUAUACGUAAUAUAGGCCACAAGCUAAUUCCGACAAGUGGCGCAAGCCAUUUGCAACGGCGGUGGAAAUAUGAAAUAUACAAUAGGGCACCCACCUGGUGCGAGCCAGGUGUCAAAAUAGGCGAACGGCAUUUUGGGAUGGGC